rnacentral:rRNA from 1 species
GGGUUGUGAGGUUAAGCGACUAAGCGUACACGGUGGAUGCCCUGGCAGUCAGAGGCGAUGAAGGACGUGCUAAUCUGCGAAAAGCGUCGGUAAGGUGAUAUGAACCGUUAUAACCGGCGAUGUCCGAAUGGGGAAACCCAGUGCAAUUCGUUGCACUAUCGUUAACUGAAUACAUAGGUUAACGAGGCGAACCGGGGGAACUGAAACAUCUAAGUACCCCGAGGAAAAGAAAUCAACCGAGAUUCCCCCAGUAGCGGCGAGCGAACGGGGAGCAGCCCAGAGUCUGAAUCAGCUUGUGUGUUAGUGGAACGGUCUGGAAAGUCCGACGGUACAGGGUGAUAGUCCCGUACACCAAAAUGCACAGGUUGUGAACUCGAAGAGUAGGGCGGGACACGUGGUAUCCUGUCUGAAUAUGGGGGGACCAUCCUCCAAGGCUAAAUACUCCUGACUGACCGAUAGUGAACCAGUACCGUGAGGGAAAGGCGAAAAGAACCCCGGCGAGGGGAGUGAAAAAGAACCUGAAACCGUGUACGUACAAGCAGUGGGAGCACCUUCGGGUGUGACUGCGUACCUUUUGUAUAAUGGGUCAGCGACUUAUAUUCUGUAGCAAGGUUAACCGUAUAGGGGAGCCGCAGGGAAACCGAGUCUUAACUGGGCGUUAAGUUGCAGGGUAUAGACCCGAAACCCGGUGAUCUAGCCAUGGGCAGGUUGAAGGUUGGGUAACACUAACUGGAGGACCGAACCGACUAAUGUUGAAAAAUUAGCGGAUGACUUGUGGCUGGGGGUGAAAGGCCAAUCAAACCGGGAGAUAGCUGGUUCUCCCCGAAAGCUAUUUAGGUAGCGCCUCGUGAAUUCAUCUUCGGGGGUAGAGCACUGUUUCGGCUAGGGGGUCAUCCCGACUUACCAACCCGAUGCAAACUACGAAUACCGAAGAAUGUUAUCACGGGAGACACACGGCGGGUGCUAACGUCCGUCGUGAAGAGGGAAACAACCCAGACCGCCAGCUAAGGUCCCAAAGUCAUGGUUAAGUGGGAAACGAUGUGGGAAGGCACAGACAGCCAGGAUGUUGGCUUAGAAGCAGCCAUCAUUUAAAGAAAGCGUAAUAGCUCACUGGUCGAGUCGGCCUGCGCGGAAGAUGUAACGGGGCUAAACCAUGCACCGAAGCUGCGGCAGCGACACUAUGUGUUGUUGGGUAGGGGAGCGUUCUGUAAGCCUGCGAAGGUGUGCUGUGAGGCAUGCUGGAGGUAUCAGAAGUGCGAAUGCUGACAUAAGUAACGAUAAAGCGGGUGAAAAGCCCGCUCGCCGGAAGACCAAGGGUUCCUGUCCAACGUUAAUCGGGGCAGGGUGAGUCGACCCCUAAGGCGAGGCCGAAAGGCGUAGUCGAUGGGAAACAGGUUAAUAUUCCUGUACUUGGUGUUACUGCGAAGGGGGGACGGAGAAGGCUAUGUUAGCCGGGCGACGGUUGUCCCGGUUUAAGCAUGUAGGCUGGUUAUCCAGGCAAAUCCGGAUAAUCAAGGCUGAGGUGUGAUGACGAGGCACUACGGUGCUGAAGUAACAAAUGCCCUGCUUCCAGGAAAAGCCUCUAAGCAUCAGGUAACAUCAAAUCGUACCCCAAACCGACACAGGUGGUCAGGUAGAGAAUACCAAGGCGCUUGAGAGAACUCGGGUGAAGGAACUAGGCAAAAUGGUGCCGUAACUUCGGGAGAAGGCACGCUGGUGUGUAGGUGAAGCCCCUGCGGGUGGAGCUGAGACCAGUCGAAGAUACCAGCUGGCUGCAACUGUUUAUUAAAAACACAGCACUGUGCAAACACGAAAGUGGACGUAUACGGUGUGACGCCUGCCCGGUGCCGGAAGGUUAAUUGAUGGGGUUAUCCGUAAGGAGAAGCUCUUGAUCGAAGCCCCGGUAAACGGCGGCCGUAACUAUAACGGUCCUAAGGUAGCGAAAUUCCUUGUCGGGUAAGUUCCGACCUGCACGAAUGGCGUAAUGAUGGCCAGGCUGUCUCCACCCGAGACUCAGUGAAAUUGAACUCGCUGUGAAGAUGCAGUGUACCCGCGGCAAGACGGAAAGACCCCGUGAACCUUUACUAUAGCUUGACACUGAACAUUGAGCCUUGAUGUGUAGGAUAGGUGGGAGGCUUUGAAGCGUGGACGCCAGUCUGCGUGGAGCCAACCUUGAAAUACCACCCUUUAAUGUUUGAUGUUCUAACGUUGGCCCCUUACCGGGGUUGCGGACAGUGUCUGGUGGGUAGUUUGACUGGGGCGGUCUCCUCCCAAAGCGUAACGGAGGAGCACGAAGGUUAGCUAAUCCUGGUCGGACAUCAGGAGGUUAGUGCAAUGGCAUAAGCUAGCUUGACUGCGAGCGUGACGGCGCGAGCAGGUGCGAAAGCAGGUCAUAGUGAUCCGGUGGUUCUGAAUGGAAGGGCCAUCGCUCAACGGAUAAAAGGUACUCCGGGGAUAACAGGCUGAUACCGCCCAAGAGUUCAUAUCGACGGCGGUGUUUGGCACCUCGAUGUCGGCUCAUCACAUCCUGGGGCUGAAGUAGGUCCCAAGGGUAUGGCUGUUCGCCAUUUAAAGUGGUACGCGAGCUGGGUUUAGAACGUCGUGAGACAGUUCGGUCCCUAUCUGCCGUGGGCGCUGGAGAAUUGAGGGGGGCUGCUCCUAGUACGAGAGGACCGGAGUGGACGCAUCACUGGUGUUCGGGUUGUCAUGCCAAUGGCACUGCCCGGUAGCUAAAUGCGGAAGAGAUAAGUGCUGAAAGCAUCUAAGCACGAAACUUGCCCCGAGAUGAGUUCUCCCUGAGACUUUAAGUCUCCUGAAGGAACGUUGAAGACGACGACGUUGAUAGGCCGGGUGUGUAAGCGCAGCGAUGCGUUGAGCUAACCGGUACUAAUGAACCGUGAGGCUUAACCUUACAACGCCGAAG